UUGGAUACAGGAAUAGAAACGAAGGAUAAGUUAGUUAGAAUUAGAGAGUUGAAUAACGAACAAUAAUAAUUGAGAAUGUACAUUUUCCUGUGAUUAAAGGAAAUUAUUGGCAAUAAUUAUUUUUUGUUUAUAACAAUUUAAAAUUUUAUAUAUACUUAUGUACCUUUGUAAAAAUGAAAAUUAUGUUUCAGUUUAAAUGAUCCAUCAAUGUUUAGGGGGAAAGAUAAUUUCCAUAUAAAAUUAUCAUUAAUCUACAUUUUAUUUUUAAACUCCAUUCUUCUUGUAUUAACACCGAGAGCAUGGAAUGUGGGAAGUCGUCGCCACCAAUAUCCGUAAGUGACAUCAUCGACGAUGAUACUGGGUGGGACAGACGACGCUACCAGUGUCGUAAGUACUUAAUCUAAAUUUUUUAUUUUAAACUAUUGAAUAUUUUCAUAGUUUUUUUUUAGAGUAAGUGGCAGCACCGACGAGGAUGUCGUAGACAGGGUGGGUCAGAUGUUGCUACCAAUAUCGUAAUAUAAAUUUUUAUUUUAAACUAUUAAAUAUUUUUUGAGAAUGCUCAGGAGCAGCCAGCGCUUCUGCCAUAGAGGCUACACACCCUGGCUUCUGCUGUGG